rnacentral:ncRNA from 1 species
ACAAAGUUUUGGUCCUAAACUUGCCGUCGUUUUUUAUCAGAAUUAUACAUGCAAGUCUCCGCACCCCAGUGAAAAUGCCCACCAACUCCAAAACAGACCGCCGGAGCAGGUAUCAGGAACACCAUAGAAAAGCCAAUGACACCUUGCCACGCCACACCCACACGGGACACCAGCAGUAAUUAACAUUAAGCAAUAGGCGACACACAAAGCCUGACUUAGUCAUGAUAAUAGGGUUGGUUAAUUUCGUGCCAGCCACCGCGGUUAUACGAAAAACCCAAGACAACGGCCUUCGGCGUAAAACGUGGAGAGACGACAAGCCAAAAAUUAUGGGGAAAUUAAGACAAAGCUGUAAAACGCUACAGUAUAUAAGAACCACAGCAACGCCCUUAAACCAAAGCUACUCUUUACCCACGAAAGCUAAGAAACAAACUGGGAUUAGAUACCCCACUAUGCUUAGCCAUAAACAUAGACAGUAAGCAACACAAUACUGUCCGCCAGAGAACUACAAGCGAAAAACUAGAAACUCAAAGGACUUGGCGGUGCUCCAUACCUGCCUAGAGGAGCCUGUCCUAUAAUCGAUACCCCACGUUAAACCUUACCCCCCCUAGAAAACACAGCCUAUAUACCGCCGUCGCCAGCCUACCUUGUGAAAGAACAACAGUAAGCAAAACAGUAAGCACCAAAACGUCAGGUCAAGGUGUAGCAAAUGGGGCGGAAGUGAUGGGCUACAUUUCCUAAGAUAGUAAACACGAACAGCAAAGUGAAAUCCUUGCCAGAAGGAGGAUUUAGCAGUAAGAUAAACAAUAAAAUUUAUCUUAAGACAGCUCUGGAGCGCGCACACACCGC